UUCUCAUUAGACAAAUUAGACUAUAUAGAAGUUUGGUGAACUGAACCCAACAUUAACUGGUGCCGAAACCCGGGAUCCGAUACCUGCCCGUCGGGGCGACGGAGGAACAACAGGUCAUUAAACCUGCCGACAGCCCCGCCGACCUUCACAGAGGGGGACCACCUAGGUGUUGAUCCGCGGCCGUCCCGAGGGACAGUGAAGGAUCCCGUCGAACCAGGACCUCACCUGGAGACAGAAAAACGGUAAAAGUUUUCGUUAUCUUUUAGAAAAAAGUAGUGAGUCGUGUGGAAACCACUAAGAAACUGUAUUCGUGGGUUAGAUAAAAAGCGUGUCAGGGAUACGUUGUCUAGGUCUGGGACCUGGUGGGGAAAUCAGGGAUUUCUAGCCAACCUAAACGCUCUCUACGGUCGUGGGUUAGAUUAAAAAUGUGUCAGGGAUACGUUGUCUAGGUCUGGGACCUGGUGGGUAAAUCAGGGAUUUCUAGCCAACCUAAACGACAGUCGUGGGUUAGAUUAAAAACGUGUCAGGGAUACGUUGUCUAGGUCUGGGACCUGGUGGGGAAUCGGGGAUUUCCAACCAACCUAAACGCUGAAAUCUGGGAUUUUCGUGGAGAGACAGUAAAUGGUGGAUUCGAUAGGAUUCACUAUAAACAAGAUAAGAACCUUUUAUUGAAUUAAAGUUAAAAUUAGAAGGGACGUCCCAGGCUCUCCUGAAACCGGGUGACGAAAUCCUGAUAAAGGUCAUCAAAAGGAAGUCCUGGGCGACACUCAAGUGGGAAGGACCGUUCCGAGUACUCAUUACCACCCCAACUGCGGUAAAAAUAGCAGAACGAAGCACCUGGAUACAUCAGUCCCAGUGCAAGAAGUUGACACCAGACGCUGCCCUUGAGUAAGUGGGAAGACGGACGGUAUCAAAACCCUUGUCCGCCGAAGAAACCAACAGACACUCACUCACCAGCCACA